rnacentral:rRNA from 1 species
GUGGGGAAUCUUGCGCAAUGCGCGAAAGCGUGACGCAGCAACGCCGCGUGGGGGAAGAAGGCCUUCGGGUUGUAAACCCCUUUCAGUUGGGACGAAGCUCCGUCGGUGAAUAGCCGGCUGGAGUGACGGUACCUUCACAAGAAGCCCCGGCUAACUACGUGCCAGCAGCCGCGGUAAUACGUAGGGGGCUAGCGUUGUCCGGAAUCAUUGGGCGUAAAGCGCGUGUAGGCGGUUCGGUAAGUCUGCUGUGAAAGUCGGGGGCUCAACCCUCGAAAGCCGGUGGAUACUGUCGGACUAGAGUGCGGAAGAGGCGAGUGGAAUUCCUGGUGUAGCGGUGAAAUGCGCAGAUAUCAGGAGGAACACCAAUUGCGAAGGCAGCUCGCUGGGACGUUACUGACGCUGAGACGCGAAAGCGUGGGGAGCAAACAGGAUUAGAAACCCUUGUAGUCC